rnacentral:misc_RNA from 1 species
CGCGACGCGCCUUCCAGCCCGCCGACGAGCUGGUUGUAAUAGAGAUACUCGUACGGGUGCAGAUGAUACAGCUUGCCAGCGGUCCACGUGAAACAGGUCGCAACGACCGCCAGCCACACGAUCAGGANNNNNNCGCCGAUGGAUGCGCUCAGGCCGAUGCCUGCGAGGAUGGCGAUGGCGGGAAAUACGAACAGGAAGUGCCGGCAGCCGUCGAAUGCCGGUCCUUCCACCACGACCUGGCAGGC